AAUAGAUACCCCGGUAGUCCACGCCGUAAACGAUGAGUACUAGUUAUUGGAGGUAUUGACUCCUUCAGUGACGCAGCUAACGCAUUAAGUACUCCGCCUGGGAAGUACGGUCGCAAGACUAAAACUCAAACAAAUUGACGGGGGCCCGCACAAGCGGUGGAUUAUGUGGUUUAAUUCGAAGCAACGCGCAGAACCUUACCUAGGCUUGAACUCCUACGAAUCCGGGGUAAUGCCUGGAGUGUCCGCAAGGAAAUGUAGUGAGAGGUGCUGCAUGGCUGUCGUCAGCUCGUGUUGUGAAAUGUUGGGUUAAGUCUCGCAACGAGCGCAACCCCUAUCGUCUGUUGCCAGCAUUAAGUUGGGCACUCUGACGAGACUGCCUGGGUUAACCAGGAGGAAGGUGGGGAUGACGUCAAGUCCUCAUGGCCCUUAUGUCUAGGGCCACACACGUAAUACAAUGGCGCGUACAAAGGGAAGCGAACUCGCAAGGGGAAGCAAAUCUCAAAAAGCGCGCCUCAGUUCGGAUUGGAGU
rnacentral:rRNA from 1 species